GACGUAGGGGGCCAGCGUUGCUCGGAAUUACUGGGUGUAAAGGGUUCGUAGGCGGUGUGGCAAGUCGGGGGUGAAAUCUCUGGGCUCAACUCCGGGGCUGCUUCCGAAACUGCCGUGCUAGAGUGUGGGAGAGGCGCGUGGAAUUGCAGGUGUAGCGGUGAAAUGCGUAGAUAUCUGCAGGAACACCCGUGGCGAAAGCGGCGCGCUGGACCACUACUGACGCUGAGGAACGAAAGCGAGGGGAGCAAACAGG
rnacentral:rRNA from 1 species